GAUUUCUGGCUUGACGCGCUUGGCCCGCCUCGGUUACGAGUGUGAGUGCUGAUGCGCGUCUGCCAUCCUUUUGGAAAACGGCGUCUGGCUUCAUUGCUUUGACGUCGCGAUCCAGAUCUAUUACUUUGAAAAAAUUAGAGUGUUUAAAGCAGGCGUUUGCUGUGAAUACAUUAGCAUGGAAUAAUAAUCUAGGACUUUGGUUCUAUUUUGUUGGUUUCUAGGGCCGAAGUAAUGAUUGAUAGGGAUAGUUUGGGGUGCUAGUAUUCCGUGGCCAGAGGUGAAAUUCUUGGAUUCACGGAAGACUAACUUAUGCGAAAGCAUU
rnacentral:rRNA from 1 species